rnacentral:lncRNA from 1 species
UUUACGCCCCAGGCGAACCAGCAACAACUUCCUACUGUCACAUGCAUAUGCAGGAUAAGACACCAUACCGAUAAUAUAAAUGCUAGACAGCUAUCGGGAGGUGGGUUUUACGCCCCAGGCGAACCAGCAACAACUCCCUACUGUCACAUGCAUAUGCAGGAUAAGACACCAUACCGAUAAUAUAAAUGCUAGACAACUGUCGGAAGGUAGGUUUUACACCCCAAACGAACCAGCAACAACUCCCUACUGUCACAUGCAUAUGCAGGUUAAGACACCAU